GGCAGCCUGGGGCUUGUAGUCGCCCUGCCCGGGGGUCCCGGGCCGGGGGGAGCUGCGCCGCCCCGGCAGCGAUGGCGAGGGCCGGGGAGCGGGAGCCUGAUCCCGCGGGAUGGGAACAGGAGUCUCCUCGCUGCCUGCUGACCUGCUCUUGUGCAGAGCUUCUCCCCCCACCCCAGGCGAGAAAGCCUCUGACCAGUGGUACCAACUCUUUUUUUGUUCCAACUCAUAGUUUUGGGAUGCUUGAGAUGGGCCAUGUUGGAUCAUGUGUAUCCUUUCAACUUUAGUCUGUUGGAUAUCUGGCUGCAACAUGGGCAGCAGCUGAUCAAAUGUUUUGGCUUUGUUUCUUCCCCAAGUUAUAUAUGAAAAGUGUUUCAAACCAUCUACCUGGUUUACAGAUUAAAUACAUGCUUCCCAUUCAUAUGCUCUAAUUUCAAUGCAAAUAAAGUAUGUAAAAAUAGUUUUUCUAAAACCUUGUAUCUGAUACAGACUGACAUUUCGGGUGAGCUGUGCUGUGAAUUGGAGAUGUCACCCAUGCAUGGUUCCCUACUAUGCAGAGAGCCAGAGGUGACCCAGAGUCCUCAUCAGGCACUGGCCAAACCCACCCUUGGCUACUUGAUCUGCAAUUUCCCUGAACAAUCCCUUCCUUCUGAAUUUAAUUCAGCGUGAGAAGGAAGAAAUUAUACUUUUCUCCAUGGUCGCUCAGCUUUCAUUUAUCUGCCACCCAACCAUUCUCUGGAAGCUUCCUGGUCUCUUGACAGCACAAGAAUUAUUAUUGUUAGCACAGACAACGAGGAGGUGAGGUUCUGGGGAGCAAGCACAGGCAGAGCUUUAUGGUGUGUUUACAAAAGGUGGCUGAAAAGGUGACAUCAGUAUGUACAGAAAUGCAGCUGCCACGUCGACACUGUGCGUGGCUGUGGGUUGUGGUCGUCUGGGAAAAAAGGUGAAAACCUGCUGUGGUGAAAACAGCAGGGAUAAUUUGGGCAGGAAAAAAAAUCUUCCUUUGUUGUUCUUAAAGCACACCUUUCUUAUCGUAACAUUUGUGAUUAAUGGGUAUUCUGGGCCUGCUGAAGUCAGUGCCUUUGUCCCGAAGAUCCACAUAUGAGAAGGUCUGGAAUGGCGGAUCCACCAGCGCUUCAUGUGUGCCGGCACGUUUCUAUCCUGGCUCCCUCCUGCGAUGCCUUCCUCCUCCUCCUCCCCUCCAGACCGUGUGCUUUGGCAGUGCCGCUUCCCCCUCUGAUCCUUAUCUCGCUCUUGGCUGCCGGGCUUGCGGGGCUCGAGGGCGCGUUCCUGCCUGGCAGCCAAACAGCGCAACCCCAGGGCUGAGCCGCAGGAAUGCGCUUCCCAGAGAGCUCGGCGUUUGGAACGGCAGCCUGUGUUUGGUAACACAACCCGGCCGUGACUGCUGGAAAACGUUACCCUCCACCUCUGGGCCGGGGCAGCUAGAAGAGGCUUUAAAAUCACAAAUUAAAAUACAAAUACAACGGGGAGAAGGAAAGCCAUCCUGGCAAAGGGAGGACAAGGUGAUCAGCGACGCUCAUCACACACUUGAGCUCGUUUUCUCUGAUUAUGAUUGACCCUUAGGAAGGGGUUUGGGGGCACCAAACUGACCAAGCUCUGUUCAGUUAUUGAUGAACACAACCUCAGAGCCAGCAAGACCCUUAGAUGGGCUCGAGGAGCCGCCUGAGCCUGAUUUAGCCCAAAUUACCCUUUUCCCAUCUGAGCUCUGAGGAUGACAGCCUCCAUCCUUAAAUUAGCUGAGGGGUGCUGGGAGAGCUGCUUGUAGGGCCAAGGGUUCCACGGGACAGCAGGAGGAAGGAGCCCAUGGGACCCGCCUUGGUUUCCAUUAGCUUGGUUUGCUGCCCUGCAAUUUUUGACUUAAUUACAUUGUUUGCGAAAGGAGAGUUUGUAAACGCUUGUCACCAGGAGAACAAAGUUACAUAAUUAAACUAUUUAGCAGAGUCUGUGGCUUCAGUGCAGUUCUCUGGGGUGAUUCAGCAUUCCAAUAAAAAUACUGUGUGAUACCAUAAAUAUUGUAAAUGGCUCUAGAUGGUUUCCAAGGGCUAUGUCAACUGCUUUUUUGCAUUCAAAGAGAAAAGAAUAAGUGAAAUCACGGGGAAGAUAAAAUUUAAAUAAAUAAAAUAAAUGGGAAAAUAAAGCAAAAAUAUUUUCUUUCGUAUUUUGAAAGCUCUGGAGGAUGUUUUUGGCCAGCAUGAGAGAAGACUGUCAUGUUUACCAGAAUAACGAACUGAGGGUAUCUCUGUGCACUUGCUUAUAGGUUGUGUAUGUGUGUCUAUCUGAGCACGGAUGCUUAGAUAAAAUCUGCCCACAACAUGGGGAAAAACCUUUUUUGUUAUUUGAGUGUUUGUGGCAUUUGCAAAUUCCAGCCACAGAGCCCAGGAAUGCACAUCUUUCCCUGGCCAAGCUGUCAAUCUCCUGCCACAGCGAGGGCAGCUGAAGGAGGAUGCCACGGGUGGCCAGAUUUGAGGGAUUGGAUUAUCUGUAUCAUUGAGAACUUGGAAAGUUUGUUUAAAAGUUGUUACUGAAGAAAGACAAAUAUUUGCCAGGCAUGAUCCCACCGUGCAAUGACAAGUAAGCUGUAUGGAAUGUGUUAAUAAAAUAUAAAUGCUCUGAAAAGGAAACAAAUGUUUUGGAUGUGAAAACAAGGGCAAAAUG